AUUGAACGCUGGCGGCAGGCUUAACACAUGCAAGUCGAGCGGGGUGAUGGUGCUUGCACUAUCACUUAGCGGCGGACGGGUGAGUAAUGCUUAGGAAUCUGCCUAUUAGUGGGGGACAACAUUUCGAAAGGAAUGCUAAUACCGCAUACGUCCUACGAGAGAAAGCAGGGGAUCUUCGGACCUUGCGCUAAUAGAUGAGCCUAAGUCGGAUUAGCUAGUUGGUGGGGUAAAGGCCUACCAAGGCGACGAUCUGUAGCGGGUCUGAGAGGAUGAUCCGCCACACUGGGACUGAGACACGGCCCAGACUCCUACGGGAGGCAGCAGUGGGGAAUAUUGGACAAUGGGCGGAAGCCUGAUCCAGCCAUGCCGCGUGUGUGAUGAAGGCCUUAUGGUUGUAAAGCACUUUAAGCGAGGAGGAGGCUACUUUAGUUAAUACCUAGAGAUAGUGGACGUUACUCGCAGAAUAAGCACCGGCUAACUCUGUGCCAGCCGCCGCCGUAA
rnacentral:rRNA from 1 species